GACGAACGCUGGCGGCGUGCCUAAUACAUGCAAGUAGAACGCUGAAGGAGGAGCUUGCUUCUCUGGAUGAGUUGCGAACGGGUGAGUAACGCGUAGGUAACCUGCCUGGUAGCGGGGGAUAACUCUUGGAAACGAUAGCUAAUACCGCAUAAGAGUAGAUGUUGCAUGACAUUUGCUUAAAAGGUGCAAUUGCAUCACUACCAGAUGGACCUGCGUUGUAUUAGCUAGUUGGUGGGGUAACGGCUUACCAAGGCGACGAUACAUAGCCGACCUGAGAGGGUGAUCGGCCACACUGGGACUGAGACACGGCCCAGACUCCUACGGGAGGCAGCAGUAGGGAAUCUUCGGCAAUGGACGGAAGUCUGACCGAGCAACGCCGCGUGAGUGAAGAAGGUUUUCGGAUCGUAAAGCUCUGUUGUAAGGGAAGAACGAGUGUGAGAGUGGAAAGUUCACACUGUGACGGUAUCUUACCAGAAAGGGACGGCUAACUACGU
rnacentral:rRNA from 1 species